CAGUAGCCACGGUAAAACGUAGGGUGCAAGCGUUAAUCGGAAUUACUGGGCGUAAAGCGUGCGCAGGCGGUUAUAUAAGACAGAUGUGAAAUCCCCGGGCUCAACCUGGGAACUGCAUUUGUGACUGUAUAGCUAGAGUACGGCAGAGGGGGAUGGAAUUCCGCGUGUAGCAGUGAAAUGCGUAGAUAUGCGGAGGAACACCGAUGGCGAAGGCAAUCCCCUGGGCCUGUACUGACGCUCAUGCACGAAAGCGUGGGGAGCAAACAGGAUUAGAUACCCCUGUAGUCCCUGUCUCUUAUAC
rnacentral:rRNA from 1 species